rnacentral:rRNA from 1 species
AUUGAACGCUGGCGGCACGCCUAACACAUGCAAGUCGAACGAGUGGUGGACGGGUGAGUAAUGUCUGGGAAACUGCCUGGUAGUGGGGGAUAACGUCCGGAAACGGGCGCUAAUACCGCAUACUAUCAGAUGAGCCUAGGUCGGAUUAGCUAGUUGGUGGGGUAAAGGCCUACCAAGGCGACGAUCCGUAACUGGUCUGAGAGGAUGAUCAGUCACACUGGAACUGAGACACGGUCCAGACUCCUACGGGAGGCAGCAGUGGGGAAUAUUGCACAAUGGGCGCAAGCCUGAUGCAGCCAUGCCGCGUGUGUGAAGAAGGCCUUCGGGUUGUAAAGCACUUUCAGCGGGGAGGCGUUACCCGCAGAAGAAGCACCGGCUAACUCCGUGCCAGCAGCCGCGGUAAUUC